rnacentral:rRNA from 1 species
UCAGAUUGAACGCUGGCGGCAGGCCUAACACAUGCAAGUCGAGCGGUAACAUUUCUAGCUUGCUAGAAGAUGACGAGCGGCGGACGGGUGAGUAAUACUUGGGGAUCUGCCUGAUGGCGGGGGACAACCACUGGAAACGGUGGCUAAUACCGCAUAAUGCCUACGGGCCAAAGUGUGGGACCUUCGGGCCACAUGCCAUCAGAUGAACCCAAGCGAGAUUAGCUAGUUGGUGAGGUAACGGCUCACCAAGGCGACGAUCUCUAGCUGGUCUGAGAGGAUGAUCAGCCACACUGGGACUGAGACACGGCCCAGACUCCUACGGGAGGCAGCAGUGGGGAAUAUUGGACAAUGGGCGCAAGCCUGAUCCAGCCAUGCCGCGUGUGUGAAGAAGGCCUUCGGGUUGUAAAGCACUUUCAGUGGUGAGGAAGGCGUUGUAGUUAAUAGCUGCAACGAUUGACGUUAGCCACAGAGGAAGCACCGGCUAACUCCGUGCCAGCAGCCGCGGCAAUACGGAGGGUGCGAGCGUUAGUCGGAAUUACUGGGCGUAAAGCGCACGUAGGCGGUUUGUUAAGCAAGAUGUGAAAGCCCAGGGCUCAACCUUGGAAUUGCAUUUUGAACUGGCAAGCUAGAGUUUUGAAGAGGGUGGUAGAAUUUCCAGUGUAGCGGUGAAAUGCGU